rnacentral:rRNA from 1 species
UGGGGAAUAUUGGACAAUGGGGGCAACCCUGAUCCAGCCAUGCCGCGUGUGUGAAGAAGGCCUUUUGGUUGUAAAGCACUUUAAGCAGUGAAGAAGACUCCAUGGUUAAUACCCAUGAACGAUGACAUUAGCUGCAGAAUAAGCACCGGCUAACUCUGUGCCAGCAGCCGCGGUAAUACAGAGGGUGCAAGCGUUAAUCGGAAUUACUGGGCGUAAAGCGAGCGUAGGUGGCUUGAUAAGUCAGAUGUGAAAGCCCCGGGCUUAACCUGGGAACGGCAUCUGAUACUGUUAGGCUAGAGUAGGUGAGAGGAAGGUAGAAUUCCAGGUGUAGCGGUGAAAUGCGUAGAGAUCUGGAGGAAUACCGAUGGCGAAGGCAGCCUUCUGGCAUCAUACUGACACUGAGGUUCGAAAGCGUGGGUAGCAAACA